CAGAAAAAAAUUGAUAUAGACGGGUUUUCAGUUCAAAGGACAGAUCGGUGGAACGAGGAAAGAGGAGAGAAGACAAAAUAGAAACACACACAGAGAAAGAGAGAAAGAGAAAGAGAGAGAGCGAGAGAGGAAGAGAAAAGCAAUGAAGAAGAAGAAGAAGAAGAAGAAGAAGAAGAGUGAAGAUUUUUCAGAGCUUGAACUUUCUCCACUACAAACAGAUUAAUGGUACACAGGAUCAGUAACAGCAGUGGGUUCGACCCAGCAAACAUAGACUGAAAGAAGUUGGGUCUAGAGUCCUCUUAAAGAAGCUCUUUUUUACCUUACACCGUCUGAUAUUGGCAUGAACAGGCUCAAUCUUAUUCUGUGAUGAAUCAAGUAUAUGAUGUUUUGAUGUUUCCAAGAUAGUUAUUUACCUAAUACAGUAUAUCAUUUUUCCAAAUAAGGUAGAGAAAUAAUAUAUGCAUUACUUGGGAAAUACAGCUUUCGCUUCAAUAUAACUUAAGAUGAAUCCCAGUAUUAUCACCGUUUUCAUCGUAUCCGGAUUGAACAUUUCGAGUUAAUGCCAGAGACCCAGAACGCUAGUUUGGGAACUGGCCAGUGGCCACAGAGUAGUCUAGCUGGAGACCUGGAGUCGGCUUGGUUCUGGGAGAAGACUUGAUUAAAACCCAGUUACAUUUUUUUUUUUUUUCAUUUUCUGUUGCGGUAGGCAUUUUUGUUAGAACUAAUCAUCCCAGAAACGCAAAGAGAAAA